rnacentral:other from 1 species
AUUUCUCUGAGGUGUUUGCUGACGGGCUAGUCCCCUGAGCCGAUAUUUCAAACCAACAGAAUGUAAUGCUCUGCGGCUGGUGAGCAUGCCCGGUUUAUCCGGGAAGCCUUAAAGCUGCGACGUUAUGUUCACCUUGAACCAAGGGUUCAAGGGUUACGGCCUGUGGCGGCAUCUCGGAGAUCCC